rnacentral:miRNA from 1 species
ACGGAGCUCCCUUCACUCCAA